GACGAACGCUGGCGGCGUGCCUAAUACAUGCAAGUUGAGCGCUGAAGGUUGGUACUUGUACCAACUGGAUGAGCAGCGAACGGGUGAGUAACGCGUGGGGAAUCUGCCUUUGAGCGGGGGACAACAUUUGGAAACGAAUGCUAAUACCGCAUAAAAACUUUAAACACAAGUUUUAAGUUUGAAAGAUGCAAUUGCAUCACUCAAAGAUGAUCCCGCGUUGUAUUAGCUAGCUGGUGAGGUAAAGGCUCACCAAGGCGAUGAUACAUAGCCGACCUGAGAGGGUGAUCGGCCACAUUGGGACUGAGACACGGCCCAAACUCCUACGGGAGGCAGCAGUAGGGAAGCUUCGGCAAGGGACGAAAGUCUGACCGAGCAACGCCGCGUGAGUGAAGAAGGGUUUCGGAUCGUAAAACCCUGUUGGUAGAGAAGAACGUUGGUGAGAGUGGAAAGCUCAUCAAGUGACGGUAACUACCCAGAAAGGGACGGCUAACUACGUG
rnacentral:rRNA from 1 species